UCCGGAGGGAGCUAGCGUUGUUCGGAAUUACUGGGCGUAAAGCGCACGUAGGCGGCUACUCAAGUCGGAGGUGAAAGCCCGGGGCUCAACCCCGGAACUGCCUUUGAAACUAGGUAGCUAGAAUCUUGGAGAGGUCAGUGGAAUUCCGAGUGUAGAGGUGAAAUUCGUAGAUAUUCGGAAGAACACCAGUGGCGAAGGCGACUGACUGGACAAGUAUUGACGCUGAGGUGCGAAAGCGUGGGGAGCAAACAGG
rnacentral:rRNA from 1 species